rnacentral:rRNA from 1 species
AUCUCUCUAAGAGUACCUGUAACUCGGAACGGACCCACCCCCGAAAAUUAACGGCCCUAACUGAAGGAAUUAUACGACACAAAAUCAACUAGAAAGCCCUAUAACACUAAACCGUUAACCCUACACAGGCACUCCCCUGAAGAAAGACUAAAAGGAGCAUAAGGAACUCGGCAAACACGCACAUAAGCCUCGCCUGUUUACCAAAAACAUCGCCUCUUGUAAAAACAUAAGAGGUCCUGCCUGCCCAGUGACACAAUGUUCAACGGCCGCGGUAUUUUGACCGCGUGAAGGUAGCGUAAUCAUUUGUCUUUUAAAUGAAGACCUGUAUGAAUGGCAUAACGAGGGCUUAACUGUCUCAUCCUCCCAGUCAAUGAAAUUGAUCUCCCCGUGCAGAAGCGGGGAUAAACACAUAAGACGAAAAGACCCUGUGGAGCUUUAGAUUACAGAACAGUCUUAAUAAAACUUUUUAAAGCCCCUGUUCAUUUAUCUUCGGUUGGGGCGACCACGGAGAAAACUUAUCCUCCACGCUGCACAAAACACCAUGUUUUUAUAACCAAGAGCGACAGCUCUAAGCACCAGAAUUUCUGACCCCAAAGAUCCGGGCAUACCGAUCAACGAACCAAGUUACCCCAGGGAUAACAGCGCAAUCCCCUUCUAGAGCCCAUAUCGACAAGGGGGUUUACGACCUCGAUGUUGGAUCAGGGCAUCCUAAUGGCGCAACCAC